rnacentral:lncRNA from 1 species
GUAGGAACAGAGAGAAAUCAAGACAGAGAGAAUCAGAGCAGACCUGUACUGAUAACAUGUAGAGACUCAUCAUUGGUUUCCUGGAAGAGAAGCCUAUGUAUCUUUGACGUCUCUUCAGGUAACUGGAUGGCCCCCGGAGUAGCACUCUGUCAAGUCAGUAACUGUAAGAAUUGGAGCUCUCAGCAAUGGCAGACAACUGCUGAAGGAAUUCUGCUUCUUACACUGGGGAGGAGCUUGGCUAAUGUCAAGGUUCGGUCCCGAACUGAACCUCUUGGAGGCAAAUACAAGCGAUGUGGCUAGUUAAGACAGCCAACGGCUAUAUAAGUAGGCUGAGGCCACUGGAGUUUUGCCCAGGAAAUGGGAGUUUUGAAGGUACCAACCUGUGCACUAACUGAUCUCCUUCUGUCGAGCUCCUCCCUGGUGUCAGCCUCCCCAGCAGCUGCCCCCAGUGUUCCAAGGUCUUGCCCCACAGUGUCUCUUCAUGCUCCGGGCAUGAAAAUGAGCGUUUACUGUGGGUGAGCCAUCUCUCCAGAGGGUGACUCAGCAAUGCUGCUGGUAUUCAUUUUAUAAAAUCUCUGACUUGGACCUGGACUUAGAGAGGGGACCAUUUCAUGAUCUGGGCUGCUGAGUGAAAAACAUCAAGGAACAUUUCCAAAGGGCAAAGUUUACAAGCUGCAAACCCCAGAUUCUGUAAUAGCAUGAUCUGGCUUGAGUGGGAUGGAUUGAGAAAGCGAUUAAGGAAAGAUGGUGGAAAAGUUAAAACAGCAAAACGUACCUGAGCACAAUAGUUCUUGCAGUCAGUCAACAAGUAUCUAUUAAACAUCUGCUAAGUACCAGCACUAAUGAGCAUUGAAUCCUGGACAGAAGGAAUCUCUCUGUCCCCACAUUGAAGAAAUUGUUCUAUAGGCCCUCUCUAAGGUCCCAGGAAGGCAAAGUGGGGCUUCAAAUGAAUAUAUUCUGUGUUUAGAUUGCACUCUCUCGCCCCUUCCCGGUAGAAUCUAAGCUUUUUGAGGUCAGGGAUUAUUUCUUUGUUGUCCUGGUAUCACUAGGUAUCCCAGCACCUAGUACAUUUUUUUUUCACGUGAAAACUUAUAUAAUUAUGUAACUUACGUAACUUUGUAUAAACUUAC